ACGGAAGGUGCAAGCGUUGCUCGGAAUCACUGGGCGUAAAGGGUGCGUAGGCGGCCGUGUAAGUCUGGCGUGAAAGCCCCGGGCUCAGCCCGGGAAGUGCGCUCGAAACUGCGCGGCUCGAGUGCCGGAGGGGAGAGUGGAAUUCCUGGUGUAGCGGUGAAAUGCGUAGAUAUCAGGAGGAAUACCGGUGGCGAAAGCGACUCUCUGGACGGCAACUGACGCUGAGGCACGAAAGCGUGGGGAGCAAACAGGA
rnacentral:rRNA from 1 species